CUAUGUACCAUUGUCAGACAGGAGUUUCCAGCUGUAUAUAAAGCUCACCAGCAGUGAUGAGAAGCAGAAAGCAGCGAUGGAGACUGAAUUGCAAGAAGAGCCAGAUGGAAGCACAAGAAGAGGCCAAGGGACCAUCAGGAAAACGGUUAUCACUUCUAAAAUCUAAUUGCCAUCAAAUCAAAGUGGGGCUGUCUCAGCAUUAGCUAGCGAUAACAUCAGUGUGCACAUUUCUUGGGGCUGGUGAUAACCUAGUGGAAUUAUCAUUGGACUGGUAAAUCUCAGAAUAGGGAACAAAAUGGAAAAGGCAUACUGCUGUAAACCAAGGACAGUGGAAUGAAUUGCUGCUCGUAAGAAACAAGUUACGAAACUCAUUGGGAGUUGUAUUUACACAGUUGGUUGUGGGGGAAGAUGUUUGAGACCUAACAGUAUCAUGGAAGUUUAUGUGAAGCAAGAUUCACCCAACAUCAGAUCAGUGACUGAGAAACUAAACAAUUUAUUCAGCAAAGAACUGAAAGGACUUGGCGACAAUGAUCAGAGGUCAACAGGUUUUGGAAGAAGCAAACAACAGACCUCAUUGAAUCCUGUGGAAUG